UUGGUAGCACCGUGGCCACGGGCAGCCCAUUGGAGUGCAUCCCCAUCACACAUCCCCGUGGCUUGGGCCAUGCCAACUGCACGGCCCCAAUUCUAGAAGCGCUUCUGGAGGGUUCUUUCAGCCUAUGAGCUGGGAAGAACAGAGGAAGGUGGGGCAGCACCGAGAAGCACAGAGCAGCCAGCAUCACCCAUGGUGCAGCAGUGACCAAGGGCUGGAGGGAGGCCCCCCCCUGCUCUUUGAACUGCUCCAGAGCGUCCUGGGAGCCAGGCAGAAUGAGCAGCCAUUAAUCAAAGCCCGGCACGUAAUCAGCACACAUGUAACGCAGAGUCGCCCACGUCCCCGAGCCAGCCCCAGCCAGCACAUUGCAGAGAAGAGGUCCUUCAAAGCCCUCUGCACACAGACACCAGGAGCUGGGUUCAUUCACAAAGCUCCAUCGCUUGGCUCGGCCAGGUCUGGCUGUCAGAAAUGUUUAAAUAUGGAAAAAAUAAACAGUUGCAACACGUUUUUUC